CAGGUUUAUAAUCUUAGGAUUAGAAUAAAAUACUAGCGUAAUAGCUAAAAAAAAGUUAAAUAAAAAGAUUAAAUAAAAAGAUUAAAUUAUCCUAUAUGACAAAGAACAACCAAAAGUUUUAAAUUCACAAUUUAAUAAUAAUUUAAUGCGAUUUAAAUUGUUUAUGUAGUUUUCUAAGAUGUUUAUUUAUGUAAAUGCUGUGUGUGUGUUCUGCGGGUGCUGCCCCUUUAAAUCCGUUGAAGUGACGUCAGUUACCAUGGAAACGAGGCUACAAGGAACAACAGAAAGCGGUGAUGCUCCGUGUCUCUUAUGGUUUUCUUCACUUUUUCAGGAGUGACAAAAUAACCCCUCUAUAAUAGAAAAUAAGCUCAAGAUUUCUGCAUUUUCGAAUGGAGCUGCUGAAAGAGAUGUUGAAAACUCAGAUUUGUCCAUGCUGAUGGCCAUGCAGCAGAGUUCAAGCAAACCUGUCAGAAAACAUCUCUAAGGGGCUAUGUAUGAACCAUAUGGCUAGAUGCCCAUACAAGUUACAGAAGCUCCAGUAUGGAUCCAGCCUCACUUGUAAAGACUUCAGAUGAUGCCUACACUCUCAGAGACUUCAGAUGAUGGCAACUAAAUGGACAUACAAAACUGCCAAACAUUUUAUAUAUAUAUAUAUAUAUAUAUAUAUAGCACUCACUGCCUCAAAGCAUAAGUUUGCAGAUUUUCAACCCACAUUAUAUUUUUACAAUAAAUUGGGGUAUUUGAAUGGACAAUGUUAACGCUUUUUUCUUGAGUUAAACUUAAAUUCCCAAUUAGUUCUUGACAAUACUCUGCCAGAUGACAGAUUACAUAUAUUACAGACAUUGGAACAAUACAAAGUGGGUUGGAAAUCUGUAAACUUCCUUUAUAAUCAUAAUUGUCUGUUUAACUGAGCAUGACUUGAAACACAUGCCUUGUAUUAUCUUAGAGCUAUAUGAUUACUGUAUUAACAUUACUUCGUUACUUAAUGAGAUUAAUGCGUAUCCCUAGUUUCACAGACAAGGCUUAAGCCUAUAGUCCUGGACUAAGACACAUGUUUGAGCGGUCUCAAUUGAAAAGAACUUUCAAUGCGAGAUUUUAAAAUAAACCAGUGCCAGUGAUUUUUCUUAAGAUAGACACCAGUAACAAUUUUUUUCUAAGGCAUGUUUAUUAAAGAUGCUUAAACAUCUUAAUUUAACUAAGGCAUAGUCUAGUAGCUUUAGCUAAGCCAUGUCUGUGAAACCAGGCCUUUAUACAUUUUCUUAAUGCAUUAAGAUAUGUAAGUUGAAUUAAAAGAUUAAAUUCGGUUUAAACUUUAUUGGUAAAACAUACCAAGCAGAUUAGGCCAGAAAAUAAACCAAAUGUGUUAAAUUACAGUUUGCUGGACUAUUGUAUGAAUUUAAUAAUUAUUAAAAUCCUCAUACUUGUUUGACAAAUUAAUAUAUCAUUAUUGAGAACUGAGAUAAGUGGUAUUAUUAAAUAUUUGGUUUAACACCUUACAAUGAUUUUAAUUACCAUGCAAAGUGUUACAUUUCUUUGGCAUUUUGUUUAGUUUUGUUUUGUUUUUAGUAAACGUUUCCAGUGUUUGUAUACAAUUAUUUUAACUUGAUAUAUCUGUUAUGACGUCUUUGACAAGCUAUUAAACGUUUUUUUUUUUAACAUUA